rnacentral:rRNA from 1 species
GACGAACGCUGGCGGCGUGCCUAACACAUGCAAGUCGAACGAGAAGGUGACUUCGGUCACUGGAUAGUGGCGUCCGGGUGAGUAACACGUAGGUAAUCUACCUUCGGGUGGGGAAUAACGUCUCGAAAGAGACGCUAAUACCGCAUAAUGCAGCGGCACCUAAUGGUGAUUAGUUGUUAAAGCGGGGGAUCUUCGGACCUCGCGCCUGAAGAGGAGCCUGCGGCAGAUUAGCAGUUGGUGAGGUAAUGGCUCACCAAGGCUUCGAUCUGUAGCUGGUCUGAGAGGACGGCCAGCCACACUGGCACUGACACACGGGCCAGACUCCUACGGGAGGCAGCAGUGGGGAAUUUGGGCAAUGGGCGAAAGCCUGACCCAGCAACGCCGCGUGAAGGAGGAAAUCCUUCGGGAUGUAAACUUCAUAAGUAAGGGAAGAAAGCUGCGGAUCGAAUAAGUCCGCAGUCCGACGGUACCUUACGUAAGCCACGGCUAACUACGUGCC